AAAGUGAAAUCUUAAAUGCAAAGAAAUAUACAGAGUUCAGAGGCUCCAUGGCUACACUUUGGGCAUGUAUGUCAUUACAGGAAUGAAAAAAAGAUGAUGGCCAAAUGCUGUAUUAAAAUCCCAUUAGAAAUGCCGGGAGAAAUUUAUGGCCCCAAUCUCUUUUAUCUGACAGCAGUUCCCAUGUGAUCCAUCAGGCUCUGAACAUGAAUUUUAAUGGGCUCAGAACCACUUCUCUACCCUGAGGUCACAGGCUGUCAGAGUGAAUCUUCCACAAACUGAUUGGAACCUGAAGAAUUUGCUCUGUCAAGAGAGAGUGUUUCAAUUGAAUAUUGCAACUGAAGACAUUCACUCUGCGUUGAUCACCUAUGGAGUGAUCAAAUUUCAACCCUUUGAAGUUUCCUAAAUGAAAGAGGCACUCUGAAUUCAAAGGCUGUUUGAAUGAACUGACUGCUUCAGCACUGUCUUGUAGAUAUAGUCCAUUCAAAUAAAAGACAAAUAUCUGACUGAAUUUUGUUAGCACGUUAAGACAUGUAUUAUAAAAAGGUUUAAGAAGAAAAUAAUGGCCACAAUUCUUCAGAAAACAUGUGAACUAAUGUGACAAAACACUGUGGUGUUGCAAACUCAAGUGCUGCUCUGGCCAAGUCACCUCGCUGAAAUCUCCACUUCCACUUGUGCAACCUACCAAGCCACUCUCUACACAGCUGCCAGAGUGAUUACAAAAACAACGCGGGAUUAUGCUACCCCUGCUUAUCUAAAAUUUGUCAAAAUGCCCGUUACACUUUGAAUAAAAUACAGAUUCCUCUCA
rnacentral:lncRNA from 1 species